UUUUAAUGUCUUACCUUACUACUUUAUUUACUGCAACAUGUUAAGUGAGACAAGGCUUAAACCCCACAAUGUGUGGCGAUGACAAUAUAUAUAUAACUAAAAGACUGCCAUAAACGUUUCUCUAUAGAGGCUUCAGAAGUUUGCCUUGGUUUUUCAAUAUAGACUACCUGCUUCCAUUAGAUGUUGACGCUUGACAAAGGCAAACAUUUUUAGAAUGACAAAUUAUGCUCGGUACAUUUGAUUUUCUCCUGAUAUUUAAAGGCCAGUCAGUCCGGAAAACUCAAGUUCACCACUGAGUCACUUCCUCGUAACUGUAUGACGUGUCAUAGCGACGAGUUGAUCAGUUGUUAGGCUAACACUAAAAUACUUUGCAAACACUGACGUGUGUGCAGUGGCCAACAGAGGGAGUACAGUUACCAGAUGAUGUUGCCUUUACCCUGCUCAGCCAUGGUGCUCUGAUUCUGAUCUGAAAUAUAUGCAAUAACCUCUCACAUUGCAUAUGGUAUCUAUUCAAAAAUUAUGAGCUUUGUAAAUUUCGUUUAAUGUUAACACACAAAUAAGCAGACCACAUCAGCAUCUAAUUCUGCGUGAGAUUCACAAACAUUUAAGGUCACAAGACUAAAUCUUAAGAAGAAAGCAUCUUACCAAAGAACAGUACAUAUAUUAAAAAAUAAACAUUGGUUGUUAAACACUUUCUUCAUAAAUCAUAAAAAAAAAAAAAAUUAAAAUGUAAAAAAAUCCACAACACUAAAUAUAUAAAAAUAUCCUUAUUGAUUUUAUGUAAAAUGUAAUAUGAUUUGCAUUAGUACUAAAUACAUAAAAUGCUGUGACUAGGCUAACUAUUGUGUGAAUAAUUUCAAUAUAAGUCAUGCAGUAAAUAUUGUCAUUGCACUGUAGUCUGACUCACACUUCACAUCGGGCUACUGACUCGUGAUUUAAGAUUAUCUGUCAGUUUUUAGACGUAAAAACACACAUGUGUUUUUAUCAAACUGCACAUGAACUGUCCUCUCUCACUGGAGGCAGCUCGCUGUGGACUCGUGCACGCUGAUCCGCGUCGCGCGCGCCUCAGUCUCUCGCUCUCAGCGCGUGGAGACAGCAGCUGUGCCGUCGUCAGAUGCAGCAGCACCGAAGAGCAGAGCGACGACGGGCAGCGUUUCGCAAUUCAGCCUCGUUCUCGUUUAUUCCGCUGGAUUAUUACGCCCAGUCGCACAGAGUCUCGGAGCAGGCUUGAUCCAGACCGGUUUCUCUGAAUGCUGUGAUGAGUUCCUGAGAGCUUCGUUCUCCCCGUGAU
rnacentral:lncRNA from 1 species